rnacentral:rRNA from 1 species
GACGAACGCUGGCGGCGUGCUUAACACAUGCAAGUCGAACGGAAAGGCCCUGCUUGCAGGGUGCUCGAGUGGCGAACGGGUGAGUAACACGUGGGUGAUCUGCCCCUUACUUUGGGAUAAGCCUGGGAAACUGGGUCUAAUACUGGAUAGGACCAUGCUGUAGGUGGUGUGGUGGAAAGAUUAGUUUCGGCAAGGGAUGAGCUCGCGGCCUAUCAGCUUGUUGGUGGGGUAAUGGCCUACCAAGGCGUCGACGGGUAGCCGGCCUGAGAGGGUGGACGGCCACAUUGGGACUGAGAUACGGCCCAGACUCCUACGGGAGGCAGCAGUGGGGAAUAUUGCACAAUGGGCGCAAGCCUGAUGCAGCGACGCCGCGUGGGGGAUGACGGCCUUCGGGUUGUAAACUCCUUUCAGCCAUGACGAAGCCCUUGUGGUGACGGUAGUGGUAGAAGAAGCACCGGCUAACUACGUG